CACCUCGCGCCCGCGCCGCGCCGGGAGGCAGCCGCGGGGGCCGCCGCCGAGGAGGGGAAGGGGGCGGCGGGGAGUUCCACCGUGAAACAACCUCUCCCUUCCUCCGCCACGGACGGAGCGGGCUGGCCGCGGCAGAGGCGCUCGGCCGCUCUGGGGAGGCGCGGUGAGGCGAGGCGGAGGGCCGGUGGUGCCUCGCGCAGCGGCCGUUGGCUGCCGCGCGCCGCCGAGGCUGAGGAGACGCGUGUGGCGGGCGCGACGGAACGGGGCGGCCGGGCGGGCUGGCGGGGCUGCCGCUCACAGGGCCGGCCGUGCCGCUGGCUGACGGCUUCGUGCGCCCGGCCGGCGGCGGGAACGAGGAGCCGUGCCCAGAAUCCCCCGCCUGCUGCCGCUGGCACGUGGCUGUCGUGGGAUCGUGCCCAGGAGGUGUCGGCCUUCGCAGGACACUUCCGUAGUUAGUUUGGUGGGGAUUUUUUGCUUGUUUUUGUUUAGUUUCAGGGACUAUUUUUUUUUACCUUUUUUAAUAUAAUUUGUUUUUAACAUAGCCUACGGUUGGGGCAGGCCGGGUUUGAUGUUGGUGAACGUCUUGCUGCGGAAGGCAUCUCACAGCAGAGGGGUGAAGUGCCAGGAGACCCAGUGUGUGGAUCUGAGAGGGUUGAGGAGUCCAUUUGUCGGCAGGGGAAAGCUGGAGUGAAAAUGGGAAAGCUACAACGGGGUGUUUAUUGAGGAAUGCUUUGUUAUGCAGGGGCAAAGUGGAUAGAGAGGACUGUGCCAUCAAACCGUUAGUCACCCUUCAGUCUACUACAUGCAACUGUAUACUUUGCCCUGAGACCCAGGUGGGCUUAUAAGGGACAGGAUGGGGCUGUGUGGGCAGCAGCUGACGAGGAAGGUGAGGAAGAGGGCUUCUCCCCCCAUUGCAUCAGUUAAAGAAGAUGGAGUGGAAAGGUAGCGAAGAGACUUCCAUCUACUCUUAGCUGUUCUCAGUACCCGUUCCUCCACCAGAGACAGGUCAGAACCCAGCUAAUUCUUCCUGCUGUCCCAGCUGUCCUCCUGCAGACAUCUUCCUAUACUGCUGGUGAUCUCUACUGUACAAAUAGUGCUGUAUAUGUGAAUGCACCGUUAUAUAGGGUAGACAAUUUUAUUACUUAGUGAUCUUUGCAAGAAAAUUAGCUGAAUGAUGCCAAAACCAUGAAAUGGAUACUGUCUUAGGUGAGCGCGUUUUCCAUUUUCUACCUUUGGUUUCACGUGACAGGGGAAUGCAGUAGAAGGGAUAUUCAUAGAAAUAUAUGUUUGUAUAACCAAAUAUAUGCAUAUAUACGUACAUACACAUAUAUAUUAAAAAAAUGUAGUAUUGUGAUCUGGGGCCUGAUCUUUCACCUACUCCUGCAGCUGGAAUCUUGACUUUCUGAAGUCUUUGGAAUUAUGGGAUUGCAAUCAGGCACAAAUAUCUGUUUCUGGGUCUCAGGCCUUAUCUGUAUUCAUAGUAACUAACCAAAUGAAGCCAAUUCAGUAUAAAUCAGUUUUAAGUCAACUUAAACAUAGCUGACUAACUAAACAUAGAGAAGAUUUCUAUCAUUUAACUGAACAUAAUUAGAAAAAUAUUUUAGCUAGAUUAAUGGUGCUUUGAUUGAGCACAAGAUAAUAGCCUUUCCCUUCUUCCAUUCACCAAUCACAUGAAAGAAACAUUAUUGUACAAUCUGUAAAUCCAAUCAGAAUUUGCUAAUGUGGCCUGAAUUUUGAACAAAAAUACUGGUAUUGAACUGGUAGGACAUUAUGCAUAACAAUGCUUGUAUGUAAUAUUUUGUAUAAUACAUUUUGAGGAAGCCAUAAAGCUUCAUAAAAUACAGAAGAGAAACAGAAUAAUUUAUUCAUUACAAAUGAUGCAGUAAUUUUGAAUACAGACUUACUAUGUAAUCUUCAAACAAGUUGAGCCUCUCAAGCACAUUACUGUGAGGUACUCUGAGUUGUUUGGGAGAUAUAAUAGUAGAAUGCUGUAACAGUUUAAGUUAGCGAAGCCCCCUGUUAACUGCAGAAAUUAUAAGGUUUCUUUCCCAAAUAUUUGUUAUGCUGAAAGAAACUUUGAGACCUGAAAAGGUUACCUGUUUGAGCACCAUCAAUAGGAUUAACGCCAAUUCAGGUAUCCUCUUUCCUUUCUUGAAUUUUUCAAUUAUGAGACACAUUUGGAUGUUGGGGUUUUUUUCCUUUUUUUUUUUUUUUUUUUCCCUAUAUGAAAUGUAUAGGAAGAAGGAGAGAAAGAUCAGUGAUGAGCACUUUUCAAAAUGCCACCUUUGCCAAGGUAGAAAUGCUGGUGAUGUGUGAUUUUACAAGAAAGAAAACUGCAUUUGAUGCCAUCUGCAGUCCUGGAGCAAACCCAAACCGUAACUCAAACUGAAAUGGAGUUUGUUGUUCUAGUACUGGGUCAAAUACAAAACUGCUUUUAGCAGCUUGCUCUCAGGAGAGAUUCUCAUAACAUGAGGCAGUCGGGAGACUAAGUUACUGUUCACCAUCUUAGGAGAUGUUCCAAGGUCAAAGUUAGGGAUAUAAGUGGAAAAUGCAGUAAUGCACUCUUGAUUUGAGGUUGUGGAGGAUGACAACUAUUAUUUAGCUGUGACUUGCUUAGAUGGAAAAAUAUACUCUGAAAAUUAUUUAAGUAGGUAGCUAGGCAUAAGGCUCAUCAUUUUCUGGAUGAACCUUCCGCUUCAGACUGCAGGCUGGAAUCAAAUUGAAAGUGUUGGAGUCCACCUCUAGCUGAGCAGGUCAGACAAGUCCUACCUAAUCCAGCCUGAUGCUCAUUCUUCAUGAUCUACAAGAUUAUUAUAAACUAAUCUGUUAGUCAUUGAAAAAUCAGUUAAUGUUAUUUCUGGUCAGACCAGUUUCUCUUCCUGUAGAAUAAAGGCUGUGUAGAGCAAAAAUGAAAUAGUAAUGCAAUAAAUACAUUAUUGGAAAUCUAGGACUUCUCUUUAGAGUGUACAGGAAAAGUUUAAAAUAGUAUAGUAAACUACUGCUUUUCAUACUGUGCUUACUUCUUUGUUUGAGCAGCAGCUGAUAUUUUUUGUGAUGUUGUAAGGAUUCAGUGUAGCAUUCAACUGUUUAAAGCUUUAACUCAUGCUUACACUAUUUACUGCAUAGCAGCUAGUGUCAAUGUUGUUUGAACUUGCCAGCACUGGGUGAAGGAAAUAGAAUGUGCAAAUAAGACUUAACUAGGUUUACUAAUUGCACUAAGUACCUAAAAUAUCUUUCAGAAAACUAUUAAAAGACAUCUAUGUGAUAAAAGAUGUUAGAGAGAUAUUUAUGUCAGAUGUUAGAGAGAUAUUUAUGUCAAAACAGCAUUGUAAAACAGUUCAAUGAGAGAGCAGACGUUUGAAAACAACUGCUUUCAGUAGGCGAUUACCACGUAUUUUUAUUUGUGUCUUUCUAUGUCAGUGAUGCCUGUUGAUAUAAAACGUACUCUCUCACAGUAAGUUCAAAGACAACCACCUACCUUCUAAUUUUGUGAUAUGCAACAUUUACUGCUAAUCUUCCCCAUAGCUUUUCCUUUGUAGUUGUCUUCUGUAUGAAACUGUAUUUAUUGGAAUUUGAGAAGACCGUGAUCCUCAACUGACUUCAAUGAAACCAUCAUGUGCAUCAAAAUAAGCUUAAAAGAUUUCAGUGCAACCCUCCUGUACUCUGAAUAGAUCAUUCUUAUGCUCUAAGAGUGAAUUACUUUGCCCUGUUAACUUUAAGAAAGUAAUUCUAAGUAACCAAGAUCCUGAUAACAGUUUACUGGAAGUCUUACCAGAUGUCCUGGUUUUGUUUAAAGCCUUAAACCUUGACACCAGAAUAGAGGAUUUCAUGAUUCAUGGCAAGUACUCGUGAAUUUCUGUACUACUGCUUGGAAACUGCAAUUUGUGCUCCCCAAACAGAUCUGCUGGGAUCCUUUUAGCAACCUCGAGCUCUCACCUGCUUCCAUGUCAAGCAUGACAGCAGCAGUUCAGCAGCAUGGAGGACCAGGGAAUCUCAAGCAUUUUGUGGCCACAGGGUAAGGUGUGGAGGUGAGUGUGGCACUUUGUACUUGAAAUGCUAGUUUGAAUUUCUUUUAGAUUCAUCAAAGCAGUAUGGAAAGAUGUAAGGAAAAAAAGGAGGGGCUUUAUUUAGUUUUGUUUUGCUCAUCUGAGUGUAGAAUUAGGCAGUGUGACACACAAUGUUGUUUCAGCUUAAAACAAGAAGUAACUUUUAGUGAUGCAAGUAGCUCACAUCAUGGAAAUCCUUUCAGGAUUGAGACAGCUAAUAAGGUGGCAAAAUCUCACAAUAGAUUGGAAUAUUAGGUUCAUGCUUGAUUAGCAGACGUUAAAGUCCCAAUCCGCUUCGUAAAGAUUACUUACAGUUUUGGAACAAAUUCAAUAGAAUUUAAUAUAGAACGGUAGUUUUUCUGCAGGUGCUUUGACCUGCCUGAUAUAAUUUUUUUUUAGUGAUUCACUCCAGCAUUUUGAAACAUAGGGAAAAUACAGUUAGGUCACCCAAUGAUGGUAAUUUUGCUUUUAAUGUAAAACUGUACUGUGAAAAAGAAUACUAAGGCAUCUCUGAAAGACAAUUUAAUGUGAUGUGGGAUCCAGGACUCUGGAAAUAUUUAAUUAAGCUGACAUUAAAAUUGUGUGGUGACAUUAUGGGGCAGAGCUAGAGAACCUAAAUAACCUAACCUGUGAGAAAAAUGUUGAGUGCAUCUUCUUCAUCCUGUGUUAAUCAACAGGAUCUUUGCAUCAUCGUAGAACGAAACUGCAAAUUCAUGAACACAUUUUGAUUAAUCCUAAUUUGAACUAUUUUGGGAUGAAGGUAAAAUGCUGUUAGUUUGUUUAGGUUGUGAACAGUUCCUGGGGAAUGUAAGAAGAAAAUUGUCCUAAUACCUAUAUAACAUUUUUUUCUUUAAUUAUUUGAAGAUUUAUUCUUAAUCAGCAAUAGUAGUUUGAAACCAUCUUUUUCUCAAAAUUAAAGUUUUUCCCCCUCUUCUCCCCCUUUUCCCCCCCUCUUCCCCCUUCCCCCCCCUCUUCUCCCCCUUCCCCUCUCUUCCCUCCCUUCUUCCCCCCCUCUUCCCCCCCAUCUUCCUCUCUCAUUCCUUUUCUCCUUUCAUCUUCAUAACACAGAAUUCCCCCAGCUGUACAAAAUGAGCCCACAGUUGCUCUUGGUACUGCAAUAGGUGCCUGGGGGAGGUGGACUGGCCUUCUCUUAAGUUCUCUGGAGGCCCUGACUGAAAGGCUGUCAUUGGGGACUGGGAAUGGCCAAGACUGUGUUUGCCACUGAGGAGGCUGCUGCUCCCAGCUCUCAUCAGGCUGUUCUUGAACCAUUAUGACUUACAGAUUAUCAUUAUAAAGGAAUCUGAAAUAGAGAUGUGAUCAACAUGUGGAAAAUCUUAGAGCUUCAAAUGUCUUUGCAUUUGUUAUAAGCAUGUUGAGAAUUUAAAAAAUACAGAAGCUCCACAGGUCUAAUAUAUUGCACUGCAAUAAGAAGCAUUCUAAAAACAAUGACAAAUAUGUCUCUUCUUCCUCUAACAGUCUGUCCUAAAAUAGAUAUAAGUGUUCCAGCAUGCAGAAAGUGAAGGAUGGCAUAUAAACAAUUGCUUGUUUACUUUUCCCACACUCAGGAACUAGAGUAAAUGCAGCUCAAAGAAUCUGCAGAAAUACUUUCCAAUUGGAGCAGCAGGAGUUGGGAAACAAAGCUGUGGCUGUAUCAUCAUGUUCACGUAGAAUCAAUGUGGUUUUCCUUCAAAAUAUGUCAAUACUAUAGUCAAAUAGCAAGGUACUUAAGAAAUCAUAGCAAAUGAAGAAAGCUGCUUUCAGAAUCUGCUGAAUAAGAGGUGGGGUUGAUAGCCCCUGGGCCGUUGCUCAUUUAUCCUUGUGGCUGCCCUCAAGAGCAGGCAAAUAUUACUUUAUCUGAAGGGCAGAGGAUAAAGAGGAUUGUCUGGUGACACAAAAGGAACCAGUGUUGGAGCCAGGAGAUCCCUGCAGUGCCUUGUUCUAUGGAAAGGUCACUAGACCAUGUGGCUCUGUGUUUCUGUUUAAGCUUUGUCAGCUCUGCUUUUAGUACCUUUACAAACAGGUGUAGUGGUGUCACUUUAUACUAUUUAUUGCUAUUCUGUUUGAAAUAGAGGAGUAUUUCAGAGAAAAGCCUCCAGAUGGUUUCAUCCAUAAACAUAAAGGCAGUAUAUAAUAUUAUUCCAUCAGGCUUUUUGGGUAAUGUAGGAUCAGAGCUAGUUGACAUAAUCUUUGGCCUUUCUUGUAGCCUGGGUUGGUUCUUCAGGAGCUUCAAGAUCAUUUAGUCUGUGGUUUGGGGAAGAACCCAGUUCUAGAUCCCUUGCAGCUGCUUCAUCAGCCUAUCCUAUCAGGUUCACCAUCUCAGUGAUACCAUGUUUAUGUUAUACAAUGCACAUGCCCUACGUGCACCUACAAGCCUGCUUUAUCUCAGACUGCUGCAAAAGUAGAUUUUGCUGUUCUCUGCUGCAGGAAGGACUUCCCUGACACUCAGGGAGGUGUGAUAACUACUCUAUCUUGUUCCACCCUUGUGUUGUGGGCUAGCAAGUCCCAGGGAUCAGGCUCUCAGCACAUAGCUUUGAUGUGCUGGUUCCAAGUUCUUUUACAUCUCAUUUUUCUUUUGCAGUGUUUCAGUUCCUUGUGUGCAUUACUACACUGCCUGAUCCAUUAUUGAUUUUUUUUUCAUUGUUUUUUAAUACAAAUUUGAGUUACUAGGUAAUUCUGGCUCCUUUAGCUGUGUUUCCUGGCUGUGGCUUAUGCUGCUUUAUAACCCUACCUUUGUUUCUCUGAAUCUCUUGUUUGGGAGAAGGAUCAGAAAAAAUACCCAUGUUUUCUUAAUUCAUUCAGGAUGCAGAAACUUCUUACCUUGUCAUGCCCUAGACACUGUGUGUAAAUAGGAGUUGCAGUGCAGAUUUUGUUUUCUUUGUUUCAAUACAGAGAGCAAAUCUCUCAGAAUAAACAGAUUUACAACAUCUGUGCUUUUCCCUUACAUUUUUGUUUCUUUUUCCCAAGUAAGUGGAAAUCUUAGCUUCAGGAAGAAGCAAGGUGAAAGUAUUCUGUAGAUAAGAUGUUUUAUGUGGCUCCAGGACAGAGACGUUUCGUAUUUGCUUGUCUCUGAUUGAAAACAGUACCUGGAGAUGGCUCUUUGUUUAUAUAGAGUGUUUGGGUGUGAGGGGCAAAGCAGGCAGAUUUACAUUUACAUUUUUUUACUUCUUUUUUCUCCAGCUCCCACACAUGAGCAAUCACCCUGAGGCCAAGGGUGGAGGCGAGAUGUGUAUGUUGCUACUUAUUUCACCAUAAACUUUGCUCUGAGUACCAGGACUUCUCAAGGGAAGGCAAACCCUGCUUUACCGUCAUUGGGGGUAUGAAUUACUCCCUUGCAUAAUCAAUACCAUGGUUAAGGUGCUUGGAGAGAGAGGCAAAAUCAUAUACUUGGGCUGUGUCAUUCAAGAGUGAGCUGGGUGCAGGAGGACACAUUCAAAGGUUCAGAAAAUCUGUGUGAGAGGGAGGCCAAACUGACACCCUGCAGUCUCCUAGCCCCAAGGCAAAUACAUUUGGUAUCAUGGAAAAGUUGCUCAAGCUCUCACAGCCCAGACACCAGGUGCCAGAGACAGUUCCUGACCUGUGAAGCUUUCAAAGGAGGUGCGUGAUGCAGACAUGGGAAGGUACGUGUAGCACCUCUCUGUUUUAUAUGUGAGGUUUUUGAGUGACAGGCUUGCCAAAGGUUGUGUGAAGAAUCUGUGCAGAGCCAGGAAUUUAUUACCCCUUGCCCAAAUCUCAGGCUGCUGCCAGAUGCAGGCAGGUAGUUUGCUGAAUACUCCAGCCUGACUCCUGGAAAGAACUCUUGUACUCCCAGUGAAACCAGUAAGUUUCCCAGAUUACAUUUAUUUUUAAACUGCACAGGCAGGGAUUACAUGUUUUGAAAAACUCCUGCCGGAGUCUUGAGAGCUUUGUGUAUUCUUAGCUCCUGAAACAUCAUCAUGCCUAACUGCUCGUUAAAGCUGCUGCCUAGCAGAAUCCCUCAGCCCUCCCAUGGGCUCCCAGGCAGUGCCUGAGAGAGUGCAAGGUGCUUUUCUCAGUCUAGCCUUGCCCUUUUUUUGGUUUAAAUCACUAGUGAAGAUAGAGUUUACAGAGGGAAAAAAAUUCAGGGUGAAUUGCACUCACAAAAUAAACAAACUGCAUUUGAAAUGUAGGAUUUUAAACCCAAAUGUCUUUGUUUAAUUUUAUCAAAGCUAAUUUGUCCAGCCUGAGUGCAGCAUGGGUUGAACUUCAAACAUCACACUGUUAACUGCAAGUUGACAUCAGUAUCUAUCUACACAGGACAACUAUGAUGCGGUAUCAUAGUUGGCUUCAAGGAUAGGUCUUGCCUUGGGCAGAGUGGAGGCCAUUCUCAACAUAGUUUUAUAACAGUCGAUAAAAUCUUUCUCAGUCUUAUGUAUGUAUGCAGUGCAGGUGGCGGGCAUUAAGCUUGGUACCACAAUGCAGUGGAGCAGGAAGUAAUCCCAUAUUGUGGGGCUUCCCGGGGUAUCCCCAAGGUCACAGCAAUAAGCAGGCAGUAACGAGUAAAAAGGAGGACACAAGAAAAUGUCAGGACCUGUCACCCUGGCUUUCCUGGAAUCUUGUUUAUGAGGUGAGGGGGGAUAACUGCAUGCUUCAGCCCUCCUUCUUGCUGUGAAGUUGAAUAAAGCAUAUUUUGUUGAGAUUCCUAACAGAUAAAUACAUGAGCAUGUGCUUGCCAAAAGGGUCUUUCUCUCUUUCUUACCCUAGGUCAUGCAUUUCUGCCCUCUUGUGUCACAGCAGCAGCCUUGCUCCUUCAUUUUCCUGAAAACUGGUUUGGUUUUGUCUUUUUUUUAAUAGGGUUAGUUUUCAAGCAGGUAAGUAGGCUGGUUUGGCCCCCUAAAACUCCAUUCCCAAACUGUGGGAGUGAUGGAGCCAACAAAAGGAAGGGGGUGGCAGUUGUAAGGCAGGCCCACCUCUUUUGGCAGCAGCCUGGUUUUAGCUUUGAGUUAAAGUGAUUGUGAAAGUAAAUGCAAAGCAGUCUUUUCUGUUUGGGAUGAAUGAGAGCCUUCCAGGUGUAAGCAGAGGGAAUUAAUUACAGCAUUUGCACAGCCCAGUUCUCCUGGAGUCUCACACAUGGCUGGCUCACAUGGCACCUCUUGGCAUUAGAGGGUCAUGGCAUCACCAGCAGCUCUGGCAUCAUCUAUUUCUUGUACCUUUCAGCUUCCUCCAGUGGCUGGAGUGGUGGUGACUUUCUGCAAGCACAAGACAAUCCACAGCAUCAGCAUUGCUGUAGGCCCAGUGAAUUCAUAGAAGUGUAUGGAUGAGUGCAGCUAUCUGAUCAAGAAGAUGGCAGGGAGGGGACAGGGAGAACAAGGAUAUCUGAAAAUCUUCAAUGUAAACAAGGCCGAUUAUACACACACCAAUUACCUCAGUGUAAACAACCAAUCGCACUAUAAUGGGGAGAACCUUUUGAGCCUGAGGAGGUUGCUUUGAAGUGCCUCUGCCCAGAGAUUGCCUGUUAAUGCAGAGAAUUACACCACUAGCAUCUGUUGGUUCCAGUGAGUAGAGUUUGGUGGCAAUGACAAUGGAACUGGGUGGAUUGGGAGUUGAAUGCAGAGAUAUGACAAUACAGUAGUUAAAAUUUCAAUAGCAAUAAGGGUGUAGCCAUUGGCAACCUGGCUGUAGGCUUGCCUGUAUCAGCCAACGCAUAUGAGUGAAGGCAGUGUGAAGGAAUUGGGAAUUUUUGUUACAUAUGUGUGUAGUCAUUGCCUUUGUGUCCAGGAAAUUGCUUGACCUGCACUUUACUGACGCAUCACUUUCCUGGGAUGUCUUAAGCCUCCUCUGGCUUUAGGCCUUUCUAAGCCCCAAUUGUCAUUUUCUCCUUUGAAGCACUACACUGCUCGUUCAGAAGGCCUGAUUCUAUAGUGGGUGGAGUCCACUGAGAAUCUCUCUAAUUUUGUGAGCUGCUGAUGAGGCCCUACAGGGUAAAAUUCAGUCUGUUUGCAGGUGAAUGCUGCUACCUGCAUGAUGCUGAGGGCUGCAGCAAGUUCCUCAGCCCUGGUCUCUGGUUUUAGACUAGGACUCAAACACAAGGAUUUCUUCACAGGCUCUUCUCCCCAUACCACAUGCCUGCUUCUCUCCUGAAGUUCCCUUAACAUUCAUGGUGUACAGCCCCUCUUCGGUCUGAUCACCAUGCUGGUUUUGCCCUUCUGUGUUCAGCAGACUUGCAUCAUCUACCUCUAGACAUGACACAUCAGUGCAAUAGGGGCAGACAUUUCUGUAUGUAGAAGUGCAUUCCAGUUUUGUAGCACUACCUACAUGAUUCCUUAAAUUUUCUGUGAAAGAAUACAAGUAAGUCAUACCCAGGUUAACAUAAAUGUCUUAACUCUCAGCUGAGAGAGGAUUAUGUGAAUUUAGGCUAGUAGCUGCCAAAUAAUAGACACACAGAUACUCUUAAAUUGGUUUGAUUUAUGUCUGCUGGCCCUGACAAUUGGAAGAAAAGAUAAAUACACACAAAGCUUUCAAAGCUUGGUGUGUUAUGAUGCUAAUUGAAAAGUCACCAAAGGAAGCCUGCAUGGUGUGUGGGAAUCUUAGUGCAUGAGAUUAGUGGCUAAUUAGUGGCUGGGAGCUGGAGUGCACUCCUCCCAGCUAUCUCACACUGAGAAUAGGCAGUUUGGCCCACGCAAUCAAUUCUUGCCCGAUACCAGCCCUAUUGCAGACAGCAGAUUGUGAUGAUGGGAAGAUACAGUGUCAGUGCUGUGUCAGGCUCUCCUAAACCUGCACAGAAAGUGUCAAAGAUACUGCUGUCUGGGUGGCUUGCUGUGUCCUGAGCCACAGCAAAGAUACAGGCAUUUGAGAACUGAGCUCUUUUUUCUUUUUAACAAAUGCAUAAAUCUUGUUUUCUUACUUUCUGCCUCUUUCAUGCCAUAUUUGCAGCAGAUGAUACAACACACUCUGGAGGCCCUGAGCUUCAAACCCUGCUUUAGAUUCUGAAGUGAAUGCAUACAGGUGGUGGCACCUUCAUCUUGGCAUUAUGUGUUAGAAUCAUGACAUUUGAAAAAUAGAGCUUUCAGCUGUCAGUGUCCUUGUAUUUCCCUCUCAAGCAUUUCCCUGGUGUACAAAUGAAGUAAAAGAAUCAGAGAUUUAAGUAAUACACUUAUCUCAUAUGAGUCUAAGAGGUUGGCCUUUACAAAAAGAGAGACAUGCAUAAUUGUAGGAAUUGGUGUCACUGAUGCAUCACUGAUACCACUGAACUAAUCAGGGCUUUGAUUGCUUAGGCACACAUCUAUUUUUCUCAAUUGUUUUGCAGUUUUUUUGAGAAUCCCUUGUUUAUUACUUAAUUUAAGAAGGUUGUUUGUAACUCUGGAGAGUUACAUGUUUUCUUCUUUUCCCACAUUUGCUUUUCCAAAUCUGAAACAAGUGUAAACACAGCUUUAAACUAUUGCACACUCUCAAUUAAACUAACUAGUAUUAAACCUCACACAGACAUUGAGGAGACAUACCAGGAUGGUUCACUUCUGAACACCACAGAAGCUAGAAAAUUUUCUUUCCAUGUCUCCAGCUCUCUGCGUAAUGCAGUUUUGCUCAAGCUGGAGUCAGAAGUGGGAUAACGUAAGAAGCCCAUUAUCACAGGCAAGUGGCCUCAGACUGUGUGAGCUGGUUGUAGAGUCAGCUUUUCUGGAGAUCAGUACAUAGGCGCUUCUAGUCCAGUUCCCUUAGCCUUCAGUCAAUAAACCUUCUUCUCCAGCUAUUGAGAAGAAGUUAAGUCGUCUAUGAUCUCAGUAAGGGCUAAUUAAAAAGAGGACAUCCUUCGUAUAGUAGCCAAGCUGUUGUAAAAGUGAUGCUAUGGGGAGAGGCAAGGUUUGCUGGCAGAGCUAAUAUCUUGUUUGAUCGCAUAGGUAGUUGGGAAAAGUUAACAGACUUUCAGACAUAGAAGUUCUUCUACAGGUCUGAAAGAAAAAACUCAAACUUUGAGCUAUUCUGGUCCAUUCUCAAAAAUCCUGUAGAGAGGACAGAUACAACAGCCCCAGACAGUCAGCUCUACCAUGGAUAAAGCCAGCUUGCAGGGCAGCCCUGAGAGCCCAGGUGCUUCAGGAAUCUUAAUAGCCUGUGUGGAGCGACAAAUUCCUGAAAUCUUGCUCUUUGUUCAGUAAAUGUUUGUUAAAACAGGAAUGAGAGAUACGGGAAAAAUCAGCAUUUUCUGGCCAAAUUAUUUCCAGAUGGUUCUAGGUGGGUAUUAGUAAUGCAGCUGUCAGUUUUCACAUGACGUUUUUUAAAUGGACACCCCUUUAUUAGUCAUCUUUUAUGAUAUCUUUCCUUUUAUCUUAAACAAAAUACCUGUGGGUACUGUUAUUGAUGGUUUCAGAUACUACUGAACAGUAACAUCAAGAUACUCAAUGGAAGCAGAUCAGUGUGGUGACUGACGCAGCAUGGGAAUUCAGUGACUGUGCUACAAGCUGAAAAACACUCCAUGCUGGAGGCUGGCAAGGAGCUAGGAGCAGAUAAGACAUCUGUUUAAUCUCAUUGUGAGGUGAAAGGGGGCAAAAAUCCCAAAUCAAGUAUACUCAGCUGAAUUGAGCUUGUGUAGGGACCGCUGCUUGAUUCAACAGCUUUUGAGAGGAAACGUAAGAGGACUCUGGACUGGUGGGCAGGUUGCCUCUGCCAAGAUGCUGCCUCCUCUUGGGAGCCACAAGAGAAAACAUUUGUUCCUGGGCAUAUUGAAGCAGCUCCUUCUCCUUCCCUCCUGCUCCCUGGCAAGCUUGGGGCAUCUCUUGCUGCCAGGUGGGAGACAGCAGGGCCAACACCAACUGCUUCUUCAUGGCAUCCAUUUAAAGUCAAGGCUUGAUAAUGGUUGUUGGUCCAUGGGCUCCUCUUCACUUGGGGUAAUGGCCUUGUCACAUGGGCAUCUCAGACAAUGCAGAUGGGUGUCAGAAGGCCACAAGCAGUCCAGCCAUCUCCCCUGAGUGCAGAGGAGGCUCUGGGAGAGGGAGUCAUCCACAUAAUGAUCUCCACAUGCCGUGUCUGAUCAGUGUGUCUGAUCAGUUCCUGUAUUGUAGAGGAGCUGUGUGGGCUUCUGGUAGGCUGUGUGUAAGAGGAGAAGGCAGGAGGAGGGCUCUUCUGUAUUUGUUCCACCUAUAACAAAACUCAGCCAACUGUCCCACCACCUACCACUUGUGCUUCUCAACAGGCUGGGCGGCAGGCAGUUCUGGAAAGGCCUGGGAACCCGCUGGAGAAAGUUAGUUCUUUCAUCUCCUUGCAGGACAUCAUUUCUCUUUUAAUGUUUUCUGCGCAGUAAAGAAAAAGGGUGAAGGAGCUGAAGAGGAAGAGCUGCAGAGGAGUUUCCAAUUCCUGUAGGAAUCUAUGCAUGGCACGUUGUGCCUGUAGGAGCCCAAAGCUGUGCUCAGCUCCAUGAAACCUGGUAGCUCAGCUGUAAAACCCAGGAUUUCUUCUGGUUUCUGAGCCAAUCUCUCAGCAUUUAGAGAAGGUACUGUGCUGAGCUGAAGUUCUGCAAGCAUAUUUGAUUUCACAUCAACUAAAACCCCCUAAAAAUCAGAUUAAAGUACUAGCUUCUUCCAAAGAAAAGCACCACACCUCAGUCUGGAGCUUAAGUUAAAACCAAAAAUGUGUUUUCAAAUAAUGUAUAAAAUUUAAAUGCUUCUUCAAAUAAAGUAUAACAGACAGUUUGCUUUGCAAAUGGUCUCUCUAACAGCUGCUUUCUCCAAGUAACCUUAAAAAUAAAAAAAAAUCACCUAUUAAAAUAAUUUAAAAUCAUCUAUUCCAAAAUAAAAGUCAAUGUCUAAGAUGACAUCUGCGAGAUCUACAGAAGCCUAGUUUAACUGGGGUAAAGCUAAGGUGAGCGACAGGUCAAAAUCAAGCUUAACAUGGAGGCCAUCUGCAACCUUUGUGGAGAAAGAUUACCAUCUUGUUGGGGAGAUCAUGUUUCUGUUAUUAUCAAUAACAGUCUGGUUUAUACUAUUUAUUCUCCCCUCUUAGGUUAUCUUCUCUGACAGCUGGGAGACUUGACACAAUGCCUAGGUUGAAGCUAUGAUGAAACUGAAUCAUGUUAUUGAAUCCUAAGUGUCAUACGAUUGUAUCACGUGCUGUGGGAAUGUAUAGGUACCACAGUCCUCGUCCCAAAGCACUUACAGUCCAAGCCAGAUAGCAGCUCUCCAGGGCCUUCCAAGCCUUCUUCACUGUGGCUUCUCUAGUAGCUAUCGUGACACUUCCUGCUCAACAAGUGCAAAAGUCCAUGGGAGUUCUAAAGUAUUUGUCAGCAAGAUUUGGAGUCCUGCCCCCAGGAAUGGUGGGGAGACUGCUCUUGGUUCUGGACCAUGCCAGCGUAAGCUCGCCGGCAAACGGCGCUAGAUGGAAGCCAUGGGAGAAAUGCUUCCUUCUGCUAGAACACUUGGUGGUUCUCAUAAAACAACAGGAAGCUCCCUGAAAUACUUUGUGGUAGCAAAAGGCCACUGCUGAAGGGAUGGGAAGGAGCCCAUACAGUGGAAGGUAUGCAUGUCUUCCUUCUACAACUUUUCUAUUAUCAGUAGAGAAAAAAGAAAUAGCAGAUGUAUAUCUGAUGUGUUUACAUGAAAACUGCGGUAUUUACUGAUGCUUUUAAGGUCACAUUUUACUCCAGUCAAGCAUUGAAAAAAUCAGAGAAUAUCUUGCAGUUAGUUAGCUAAACACCUUUUUCUGCCUUUGGAUUGGGUAAGGCAGAUAGUCACAAUAAACUUUAUCUGGAGGACAGUUCAAGGAAUUGGCGAGAGAGUCCAAAAUCCACUAACUCAAGGUCACGGAUCCACUCAAGGAGUCCAGGCUGGCUGGGCCGUGACCAUAAAUCAUAUUUGACACUGACUUGGUGACCCAUGUAAAAUGUGUGAGUCGGCACACAGCUUCCAUGGGAGAAGCAUCAACUGCCAGCAACAGAUACAGGAACUGCUGCUUCUGUGAAGAGGCCCAGACUCCACUGCGCAUGGAAAGACAAUUUUCCACCUAAUCACUAGGAGUUCUUGUCAAAGCAUGUGUAGACAUAGGAGUGUGGCCUAAUCUUUCACCUAAGCCCAUCUGGAUGGAGCUAUAAAUCCAAGAAAUUGCAGCCCGCAAACACAAGCAGGACACGCUCCAGAUGCUCCUGCCCAUCACACCAAGCACUAGCAGGGGACAUCAUGUUGUGGAACUUCCUCUUGGGAGCCUCACAACUUUCUGGAACCACUGUGGGCACCAUCACUAUGGUAUCCAAAUAUGUCCCAGUGACACAGUGAGACGGGGAAUUUUAGAAACGUGAAACUGAGAGACAGCAAAAGUGUAUUGCCUAAGGUUUUCUGGCCAUCAAUGGUUCAGUAAAAAAAAAAGGUCUCUUGAAUAGAAGUUCCAUGUCUUAUGUGCUGAAACACCUUUCCUAGGGAACAUGCUCUCAGGCUGAGUAAUUGAAACUCCCCACUUGCUCGUUUGGGUGUGAAGAAAUUAUAUGUAUGGCAAAGUUGUUCCCACAGUCAGCUCGCAGGUGUAUGGCCUCGGUUCAUGUAGUCCUUUAGAAUGGAAAGCCUGAAGCCAGAUUGCACUGUUACAUCCCUGUUAUGUUCCAGUUCUGUCCACAACACAUAAAACCAAUGUGAACUAGAGCAAAGUUUAUUGGGAGUCUCUAACACAAAAAUAGAAGCCUCCUACACUAAACAAAGCAAGUGCUGUGCAUGCACUAAGGCAUGUGUGAGGGAGACUGCUUGUAAAUAUUCUCUGUAGUCUGCGUAGGAGUUGUGCGGAGACAGCCUGAAGACCGCCAGCAGCAGAAAAAGGAGAUAAAUGGGCAUUUAUUCAGCUGAGCAUCUGGGGAGAAGGGUUAUAAUAUGCGCUAGGACAAACUCAGGAUUGAAGCUAUCAAACUACGCCCUGGCAAACUGAAAUAAUAAAGGCCUGAGCUUGGCAUUGCUGCCUUGUACAGCUCUGUCCCAUGAGGCGGGUUUCACAAAGGUGAGAAAGUGUCUCUCAUCAUAUCUUUUUUCUCUUCACUUGGCAGUUUUCUGUGUUUCUUAGCUAAAAUCUCAGAGAAAGGAGUCACAAAUCUGUGUGUAACAAACUUCCACGAGCUGCAAAUACCCUUCCCAGCCAAGAGACCCCAGGAAGUCUUGGAAAAAUAAUUAAGCUACGUAAACAAUAUUCUUGACUUUCUCCUAAACUGGUUGAUCCCAACCCUGGCCCUGCAGCUGCUCCCUGGGCACAGGUGGGCUCUGCUGCCUGCGCCCACCCAGAGCUUCCUGAUUUCAGUAAUUUCAGGACAAGAGGUGCUGGAGGCACCUCCUCAUCAGGGGCUGCUCCUCGCUGCCUCCCCCACGGCCCCCGACAGCCCCGCCAGCCGCUGCCUCUUCGGCAGGAAAUUCUUCCGUGCUGCCUCAGGCAGGUUCAUUCUGCUUCCCUACUUAUCUGGGGUUUAUAUUUUCAGCCAAAAAAAGUUAAAGCAUAACCAAGAAAGAUAGGACAAUUGUGGGGGGGGAAGUUAGUUACCUGCAUUUUCCCAAAAUGUGGUAAAUGCAAGCAAUUUUUUAAUGUGACUUAUGGAAAUACAACUUCAUCCCUUGCUUCUUUUUCCAUCCCACCAAUACCAGACCCUGCAGUCUCCAGUGCUUUCCCAGAGCCAGAAAACAUGUGUUUUUCUCUAGGCUUUUUGAAAAAUUGUUCAAUAAUUCAAUUUAACAAUUUUCUUUUAAAAAAAUCAUACAAAAGCCAACAUCUAGGAUAAAACAUUUCAGAUUAAAAGCCAUAUGUUUGAUAAGGGAUGACUAACCAAAAAUAGCAUUAUUAAGGAGAAAUUUCAGGCAUCUCUAGACCUUUGUCACCAAAGGAUUUUGUGACCAAUACAAGGCCCAUCUCUCUUAGAACAAGGAUUGAAUAUACAUAAGCAAACAGUUUAAAUCCACUACAUUUAUUUUGUUAAUUGUAGAAGUUUUAUCGCUUCAGGAGACCUGAAAGUUCACAAAUAUUAAUUCUGAACUCAUCUCACCAAGUGUCUUCAGUUACAUUUCACCUUUGUUACUGCACAGCAUGGAAAAGUUGUGGAUGCUCCAACCCUGGAAGUAUCCAUGGCCAGGCUGGAUGGGGCUUUGAGCAGCCUGGUCUAGUGGAAGGUGUCCCUGACCAUGCAAAAAUAGUGUGUCUACAUUGGAACCUCAACACCCUUGCACUCAUUUUGGAUGCCUAUACAUAUAAAUACCUGUGCAUGCAUAUGAAUGUACACAAAGAUACAUGCACACACUGGCCAAAAUGGGACUUCAGAAGCACCAGUGUGAACGUGUGCAAGAAUUGGCAUGGAAAAAUACACGGCAUGUUCUUCUUUCUAUUUUUUCAAACAUCAGUUUUUCUGCUAGUACGGUAUCCCAGUGUCUACUGGGCCAUUGUCAGCCCUGCACAUGGACACACGUAUACAUGUAUAUGUACCCAGGAAACAGCACUGGCUGAAGACUGGGCAGGAUUUAUGAAUCAGUGGCCACGUGGCUCCUCCAGUGACACUGAAGCAGGACAUGCAUCCUUUCCUCCUUGCUGUUGUGAUACUCCCAGGGACUUGGGUGUUUCAGGAAGGGAGGAUAUUUCUCAAAUUUACUCAAGGGCAGUUGUGAGCUUUGACUGAUUGCUUGAAACAUCGCAUCUUCCAAACAUGCCCAACUGGAAAUAACAGCAGCUCAUGAAGAACUAGAGGAUGUAUGGCUGGAUGUAUGGCUCUGCCCUGAGCCCUAGCGUCACUUAUCUACAAACUCUCAUAAACAAAUCAAGCUCAAUUUAAAACAUCUUAGAUUGAUAACCCUAUACUCCUGUUAGGAAGCAGUCCUAUGGGGCUCUACGCCUGCUCAGCUGCUGUCUUGAUUUUUCCGUGGUCAGCUCUGUCCUUUACCUUUGGUCUUGCCUCAUUUCUGUCCAGCCUGUGAAAUGCUCGAACCCUUUGAUGGGCAGCAGUCACAUCCCCCUUCCCCUCGUCCUGCUAGCUGAAACAAGACUGACACUUAAGUCUCCUCUUAUAACAUAGGCUUUUCUACCCUCUGCUCAUUUUUAUGCCCUUCUCCACAACUCCAACAAAUCCCCUCUGAAUGCAGGUGAAUGCAGCUUUCUGGACGACACACAAAAGAGCCCUGUACCAGGGCAUGAAGCCUGCCCUCGCUCUGCUGGUCAGUCUUUCCUUUAAUACACAAUAAAACUUGCACUUCCCAGACAUUAGUGGCUCAUAGUCAUGUUGUGACUGAUCAAUGCAGUGUGAUGCAACUUGUGCACCAGAUCCCCCCACCAGCACACUCCCAGACCUCUUCUCCCCACAGCAAAUGGCCAUUUCGGUAGCAAAUGGUGCCCAAGAACUGAACAUCUUCAACCAUACAACAGGCAGCUUAGAGUCCAGAACUAUUGUUCCAUCCCUGCGCAUGGAGAAGGAACUGGGAAAAUGCACUACGUUUUUGCAGUGCCUGGCUAGAGCUUCUGCCUCGUUAUUAGGGGGAGAAGGGGUAUCCCACAGAAACUGGGGAAAAGCAGUGCUCUUGUGGCAGCCUGUCCUCUGGCAAGUGUAUUUGUGCAAGGGCAGGCAUGGUGUGGUCAGCAAAGGCCUGAGCCACAGCUGUUACUGUCACAACCUAGGAAGCGUAGGGAAGGACAAAGUGUCCCAAGUCGUGGUUGCAGCUGAGCUUGAACUGCCUUGGACUAAUACACACAAAAAUCUUGCUCCAACCCUGCCUCUAUUUCCAGCUGAAGAGCAUCUAUCUAUUAAUAGCUGAUGGCAGAGCUUCUUGUUAGAAAUUCUCAAAUCAGGCCCUAUGCCCUGCACUAUUAUGGUUCAUGUCAUUUCCAUUACUGCCCUCCGCUGCUCACUGCUCAAACCAACGAGAAUUCUGUGGGUAGCAUCUCAUGUACCCCAUUACUGACAGUACCCAACACUGUAUCAUCAGUUAAUGUCACUGUCUCCUUUUGUCUUCUGGUGCCACAGCUGGGAAUGAAACAUUAAAUAAGGUCUAUUCUAAGUCUAGUCCUAGAGGAAUUACACUAAUAAUUGCUUCUGGCAUGUUUGUUCUUGUUCCAUCAUAACCCAUCAUGAUCUUCCUGUCUCUCAGUGCUUUAUCUUAAAAUUUGUGUUUCUCCACUAUAAGAAAUAAUUUCCUGGUGUUAUUUUGACCUCUUAGUGUAGAUUGACUACAUUUGCCUCGUCUGAAAAGGUCAGUUAUCUUACAGAAGAGAGGCACCAUAUUAAUUUGGCAUGAUCUACCUUGGGCAAAUUCAUGUUGUAUUUCAUCCCAUUGUCAGUUAUCUGUUGUCUCUUUCCUUCAGCAAGGUUUUUAUGUCCAGCUGAUCCACAUAUCCAAAGUGUGAGAAGGAAGGAAAAAAGAUAAAAGAGUUGAAUUCCCUUCUGUACUCUGCUGUGUGUCUGUGACACUGCAGCUGCUGCAGUCCAUGCAUGCAGCCUAAAACAGAAGGAACAGAACAAGGAGUAAAAUCAUGAGCUCUCCCAUGAAGCUCUCCCAUGGAGCAUGGACGGUACAUCCUUCCUGAUAGAACCUGUUGCCUCAUGAAACUCAGAGCCUGAGGGGCUUAGUCAAAUAUCUUAGAGAUGAAACGCUUGCAAUUAUUAAAAGACAAUUAAAAGGAUUAUCUUUCCUCAUACUCCAUAAACUGUUCCCUAGCUGGGCUAGGAGGACAUGAACUCCGCAGUUGAAGAGCAAAACGUGCACAAUGUAAAUUUAACAACUUCCUCUGUACUGUUUGGCCACUGUCGCAGAGAAGACAUCACUGCAGACGAAGCACUGCUCUUCUGCACCACAGCCAUGGCUGCAUCUUCAUUACAACCUUCACGGUGCAUUUCCAUUGCAGAGACACACUGAUUCUGAGGAGCAUGGAGGUGUGCAGAUACCAUUUGCUUUCCACACAUUGCAUGUGGAAGUAGACAGCGUGAGAAAGUUCUUGUGUAAACACCAUGCCAGGCAGGAGUGUGCCUGAUGGCACAGGUGGUGGGUUCAGUCAGCGAGGAGGCUCUGUAUCAACUUGUUGAUGCUUAGGGAAAGGAUGGUGCCUAUUGAUUAGGGCACGUAGGCAGAUGAGCUGCAGACACGGAGCAGGGUUUCAGGGUCUGCAGCUCACUGGGAGCGGCUUCCUUGUGAGAAUGUGGCUGGCAGAUGCACAGAUGUGUGUGCAGCCAGCUCUGCAGAACACACAGCACCAGUGCAGCACGGAACGCAGCGGGGCCCCUGGCUCUGCCCCUCGGCACACAGCCACACGUUGGGCACCACAGGGAACUCCAGGAUGGCAGGCGCCAGUGGCUGGCACGCCACCAGCCUCCCCCAUGCUGGAGGAGCCUGGGGUUGGGUCCUUCAGUAAGGGGUGCUACCCAAACAGCCAAGGCCCGCAUGCCCCACAAGCUGGGUAGUGAUGCUGUAGAUAAUAAUCAUCUUUACCGAUGUUUCCACUGCCCAAACCGUGCAGAGAUACCUCUUGGAAUGCACUUGACCUGAGCCCCAGCCUGCUCUGGCCUUUUUGCCAAAGCCAGCCUGAAAGUCUUGUUCUGGCUGCCAGCCUGUUCCCCGUUCCAGCAGAAGCAGAGGGAGCAGGAGCUGCUGAAGUGGGGUGUGAGGAGGUCUCGGGACACAGCCUGAGAUCUUUUCUCUAGUGGACACAAGAUCAACCUGCAGAAUGGUGGCCUUGGACUCCUGUAUCAGGUGAGGAUUUUGGUGAGCUAAAGAUUCGGAUCUUUAACCUAACCUUCGGGCUUUGUUGCUCUGAAGCCAACUUGGCCCUUCUGGAACCGCAAGUUCGAGGCAGUAAGACCUUCACUGGAACAUGAUGAGUUGUCCUCCCCUCUUCCCACCCCCACGCCAGAUCUCCACCACAAUUCAGGAAGAUACUGCUAUAUUACAACAAUAAGAGGGCAGGCCAGCUGAUGGAGCAAGCAGCUCUCAUCAAGUGUUUAAUAGACUAAAAUAUGGAAAUUGUGGGUAUCAGUUUCUUCCCAAGUAGCAAGUGAUAGGAUGAGAGGAAACAGCCUCAAGUUGUGCCAGGGGAGCUUUAGAUUGGAUAUUGGGAAAAAUAGCACUGGAACAGGCUCCCCAGGGAAGUGGCUGAGUCACCAUCCUUGGAGGUGUUUAAAAGACAUGUAGAUGUGGUGUGUAUGGACAAGGUUUAGUGGUGGACUUGGCAGUGUUAGGUUGACAGUUGGACUCGAUGAUCUUACAGGUCUUUUCCAACCUAAAUGAUUCUGUGGUUCUAUAAGAGAGCUGGUGGCCAGCACAGUCUUCUAGCAACUGGACCAGAAAAGCAGAGGACUGGGAAGAGGAACAAGGGAGAAGACAGUUACUCUUUUGCCAAGCAUGUCCUACCCCACUCUCUUGUGCAGCCUCCAGGGACGUACAGCCUGUGCAGAGCUUUUUGGGCAGAGGGACGAUGUGUUGAGCACCACCACAAGCAUCUCCCCUUGCUGCCCAACACGGUCCUGCCAGCCUGUCCACCAGCCUGUACAUACUCAGCUCUCCCACCAGCUGCUGGCAUGGAGAUUUGGAGAAAAGGGACCUCCUGGCUGCUGGUGGAGCCGGGUCCCCUCAGGAAGCAGACCCCCAGGAAUGGUGCAUCCUUUCACCUCACAUGUUGUACGUUUCUUAGUCUCAAGCUACAUGUGUAUUCUGCAGAUGGCAACGUCCUUCCCCAGGGGUCUACAGUGGAACCCAACAUGCCUGGGAAAGGCAGUUUAAGCCUGAUGAGUUCUUCAAAACCACCCCACAUAUAUUUAUCCAGCUGCCAUUUCCUAAACUGGCGGGACUUUCUAUGAGUGCAAACCCUUCUAACAUUCAGUGAACAUCAACAAUAACAAAAACAAAUAAAGAAACCAAUUCUUACUUAAUCUUUCACGAGCUUGAAUUUUACAACUGACUGUCACAAAACAGAGUAGAAUCUUUGAGUGCUUUUGAUAUUGGAUAAUCCAUAAAACUUUUAUUUAGAAAGAAAACAUAAAACAUAUUGAGAAGAUAAUACUGUCCUCCCUGCUGUGAACUUAAUGUACUGGCUCCCUCAUAGCCAAGUGGUAAAGAAAUAUAACAGUGAUUUUGCCCAAGUACUAGUUUCUCUGUCGCACCUUGUUGAGUAGAGCCAAUACAUCACUCAUAGUGUUCUCUUCAGAUAAUGUCAAAUGACAACAAGGCAGAACAUGCAGAUUUCAAAUAAGGCAGGACAAUAAUGCUAGGAGAGCUUAUAAUAAAACAAUUGGCUCUGGGUUUCUUUAACAACAUUUAUCUUUAAACAACUGCACCGAAAUCCACCUCAGUUUAACAGCUUUUAAAUGAAAGGACACACAGUCCCAAAACUGUUGACAUUUUGACUAUGGCUUUUAGCAAAACAAUGUAAAAAUGCAUCCAUCUCUAUAAAGGUUCAACUAAAGUAUCUUGAGAGCUCCCUCACUUUGUUUCAAUUUGUUCUAGUCCCACAGCAACCAGGACUUAGUCACUCCGUAUAAACUAUGACUCCUUGGUGCAAGAUUUGUAAAAGGAACUUGCCUCAGAAGAUACUGCAUAUGGUAGCAAGGGACGGUACUGUUUUUCUCAACAUUUUCACAGCUUGGCAUUUCAGAGAAAAAAAGAGCUCAUUAAACAGCUAGUUAAUACACCAUGAAUGACCUUGCAAAUAAAAAAAAACAUAAGAAUAAAAUUCUCACAAAACUCAUAUUUACAUAUGUCAGCUUGGGUAGGUUGAAAAGGGGUGGAAAACAGUGUGGAGUCUCCAAACUCCCAAUCCAAAUGUCUCUGGCUUUGCCCAGGCAAGCUGUCAGGCUGCCUUCCUAGAUAAGAAAGGGUUUUAUGACCAGAUCUUACUUAGCGAGAAGGCCGGUGUCACGCGAUGGCCAUCCUGCAUGCCAGGGUCCAGCCUAUGACCUUCACUUCCGAAGGUGAUCCCCAGUCCACACUGACCACAGUUUCUCCCAGUACAGGAUUUCAUGACAUGAAAAAUGGAGUUCCACAUGUGGAAAAAAAAGCCCUCAGAGAAGAAAACACGGCUGUGGACUGGGGCCAAUUGGAUCACUCUGGCUUGCUCCCACUGUUUGAGUAAAGAACAUGCCCCUCCCAGAAUAUAUCCUGUCCCUGAGAAUUUAAUGCAGAUGAAAACUUCAGUGUGCUCUCAGCUGACAUAAAUUUGCAUAAUUUCAUGAAUCGAACCAGCUAGACCAGGAGUUGAUAGAAAACCUAAUCUCUGGUUGCUGAAAGCUACGCCUGGGAUACUACUUUCACUAGACUUUGUUGAAUGAACUAGCAUCCUUCUGCCUGACCACCAUUACAUAAACCAUAGAACAGUGUUUUCCCCUGGACAUGCUCUUCUGUCUGACCAAAAGGCCACAAAAGACAGAGCUGACAGGAGCCUCAGGAAAUCAGCUAGCCCAUUGUCUACCCUGAAGUGGGAUUAGCUGUAGAUUUCUUCCAUAUCUUUAGAUCCCACAGCCUGUGGAUAUUCCUAGGAGGUUUGUUAUUUAAUGACUGGGCAGUUUUAUCCACAGCAAGACAAAAAGCAGAGGGAAUCUGCACCCCUGCAGGUGCAGAGCUCAUUUAGAGGCAGCUCCUCACCAAGAUCCCACCAGGAUGUUGGAGUGGGACUGGGCUGGGAAGUAGCAAGGAGCCCAAACUGCCAACACGGGGAUCCACCAGCAGCGUAUUUUCACAUGUACAUAGGCAAGGGUAGCAAACAGGCUCUGGCCGCUGCCAUCAGUGAUGUUCUGGAAGCCUGGAAGUAGUAGAAGAUAUCCUGUGUGAUUAUUUGGGUUCAGCUGAUGUGCAUGAGUCAUGGACUCAACAGUUCUCUGAAGCUGUGGGCCCCAGUACCCUCUGCAUGGGAGUUUAAUGACUGCUCUCCAUUCUUGUGCCUGCUGUAAAUUGCUUGUUACUCCAGCUAUCACACAUCUGUCUCUUAGCUCUCUCCAGACCUUUUUUUUAAAUGUGGCAAUAUGUCCCUGGUGGAUUAAUUCAUUGAUUUAUCAAGCACAAGUAUACGACUGAGAUUUAUGAAAGUUCAUUUCUUCAAGUGAAACAGAAUUAAUGAAUGCAAAGAGUCCUCCAGGGAUACUGUUUCUUUGCAGAGAAAAUAAUCACCACUUUUCAUUUGUUCUACCAACGUUUUUACCUUAUGCUCAGCUGUGGUUUCCACACCUAAACCAAUGCAACGACACCAAACCAAGUAUCCUGACCACCCUUAUACACCCUGCAGUAACACACCCGUAGUUGAAAAAUAGAAUCCAGCACUGAUGAAAGAGAAACAGAGACAAAAAAGAAGUCCUUCUUGCCAUUAGAACCACCAACCAUUUGCUUAUUAAUUUAAGUUCAUCAAAUCACCCUCCAGUAAUUUCUAGCUUAAUUUAAUCUUGCUUGCCUUUUAACACCAAAUUAAAAAGACAGAUACCACAAUAAGCAUAAUAAAUCAACCAACUUGCAGCAGCAUCAAACACAUAAACACAUCCACAAACCUGAACAGGGAAUAACACCUGAUGGAAGUUCUCCAGAAGAUUAUGUUAUCUGUCAUUUCUGUUGGAACCUCCCUCUAACGUAAAUCAGGAGAGAGCAUGCAUAGACUUGGGCAUUGUCCCAAUAUACACAAGGGCACAACUCAUGACCAAAAUGUUUCAGAGUCAAAUCCUCCUGGAGCAUCCAGGUGGAGAUGGUAUUGUGUGCUCCUCACUGCUCUAAGGGCUUGAUAGAGAUACGUCGGUGGAAUUGCUGUCCUUCAGGAUUUCUUCAGGCCAAAGCUGGACACAGGCAGUAAUGUGCAGCCUACUAAGGCUCACUGACGACCUGCAUCUGCGUGUUUGGUUGAGCAUGUACAUGCUUGUGAGUGGAAGGGGGAGGCAAAAAAGUCAGAAAACAGCAUAAGAUCUCAAGACAUACAUUAAUUUUCCCAGCAAUUACACAAAGUCUACACUUUUAAUUAAAGUUAAAUUAAAUUAGCUCUAGACCUCUGACCCAUGGAAAGAGUCAACAGCUGCCUGAUGGGGUAAUAUCAGAGCAAACAGGGGUUUUCUAUUCUCCAAGGGGUCAGCUGUAAGCUGAAGAUCUCAGCUGAACCACCACUAUGUAUUACUUGUAAAGCAGCAUACUGCUCUCUCGGUGUUGUAGAAAUAUA